UUUGGUUAUAUUUAUACAUGCAAGUAUCAGCACCCCUGUGAGAAUGCCCUACAUUUUUCCUCCCCAAAAAAAAGGAGCAGGCAUUAGGCACAACCCUCUGUUAGCCCAUAACGCCUUGCUUAGCCACACCCCCACGGGAACUCAGCAGUAAUAAACAUUAAGCAAUAAGUGAAAACUUGACUUAGUUAAAACCAAGAGAGCCGGUAAAACUCGUGCCAGCCACCGCGGUUAUACGAGAGGCUCAAGUCGAUAGAUACCGGCGUAAAAAGUGGUUAGCAUACCAUAAAACUAAAGCUAAACAUCUUCAGAGCUGUUAUACCCAUAUGAAGACAGGAAGUACUUAUACGAAAGUAGCUUUAAAUAAUGUUAUUCACGAAAGCUAGGAAACAAACUGGGAUUAGAUACCCCACUAUGCCUAGCCCUAAACAUAAGUGGACCUUUACAUCUUCCACUUGCCAGGGAACUACGAGCCCCAGCUUAAAACCCAAAGGACUUGGCGGUGCUUUAGACCCCCCUAGAGGAGCCUGUUCUAGAACCGAUAACCCCCGUUUAACCUCACCCUCUCUUGUUCAUCCCGCCUAUAUACCGCCGUCGUCAGCUUACCCUGUGAAGGCUUCAUAGUGAGCUUAAUUGGUACAACCCAAAACGUCAGGUCGAGGUGUAGCGUACGAGAGGGGAAGAAAUGGGCUACAUUCACUG
rnacentral:rRNA from 1 species